CGUUUAGCUCUCAAAAAGCAUUUGGUGAAUUUUUUAAUUUCAAUACACAUUUAGCUAACCGUAGAUACCUUCCAUGCCUGCUAUGGCUGGGUAUAUGCGAGUACAUGCCACAUUAAUAAAAUAAAUUUUCAUACACAUCCUCAGAAUUCUCACAUUAAAACGUUUAUCCACAGCCUCCUGUCUAUUGGAAUUUGAAUAGAAGUUUAAUGCUCUGACAAGAUGUCAAACCUGCCUAAUGAAAUAUUGCUGGCCGACAAAGCCAACAAAACCCCACUUCAAUGUUACGCAUACCCCGUGUUGCCUUUGCGCAUCUUUUUCACUCCCCCAGGCCGGCGAUUGGGCAAUUAUCCACAUCGAGAGCCUGUUUGAUGUGGCCUGCCUGCCAUCCUGCCAUCCUGCCAGACUGCCACACGGCUGCUUUUGAACUAAUCCAGCACCCAGAAAACCAACGAACAUUGAAAGGGAAGACAAAAAGCAUGACGACAGCAUAAAUAAGUCACAAAGAAAAAUGUGUAAAAUGUUGGGCAAAUGCUUAAAGCUAUUCAUAAUUUA